rnacentral:rRNA from 1 species
ACGUAGGUGGCGAGCGUUAUCCGGAAUCAUUGGGCGUAAAGAGGGAGCAGGCGGCAGUGCAGGUCUGCGGUGAAAGACCGGAGCUAAACUUCGGUAAGCCGUGGAAACCGCACAGCUAGAGAGCAUCAGAGGAUCGCGGAAUUCCAUGUGUAGCGGUGAAAUGCGUAGAUAUAUGGAGGAACACCAGUGGCGAAGGCGGCGGUCUGGGGUGCAGCUGACGCUCAGUCCCGAAAGCGUGGGGAGCAAAUAG